UGUGAACUGUAGCACGUCGUGAAAUUGAUGGAACGUUCUGAUUGGCUCGCGCAAAACACUCGGAAUUCGAAUUUGGCAAACCAAACGGAUACGCAAAAAAAGCAGUGAGGAACUUAAGUGACCAUUGCCAGGCAGAGUGAUGCCACCGACAGGGAGGGGAAUGGACAACAAAGGCCCCCAAAAAAUGGCACAAGAGGUGCAAAUAGAGAGGUCAACAUGCUAUUUUCCAAAUACUCUGAAGUGUUGAGUGAGAGGGCUGCAAUAGAUGCUUCACAAGUUAGGGAGUUGGAAGACAUAUUGAUGGAGGCCAGAAACUUGGAGUCACACCUGAAAGAGAAGAAAGAUCACUUGAGGCGUACCUUGGCUCUAAUUUCUGACAAACUGCAGGGAUAGACUUGCUACAUGGGCCUAUGUGCUACAGACAUUUGUAAAUAUUUCUUCACUGAUCUCAAUAAGUAACAUGUCAGUACUUUUAUUUUGACCUCUAUGUAUGCUUUUUAGGUUUACUGUCCUCACUCUUUAUCCCACACUGGCAAACACAACGUGAGUGUGAUUGUGGUUCAUUUCUUUAUAAAUGACCUAUUUAUAUUGAAGCAUUGGGAAUACUGUAGAUCUAGGCCUAUGUAGCCUACUGUAAACAAUAAAUAGGUUAAAAAUA